UGUGAAUGAUGACACGUCUUUGCCUGACUUCACUGAGGGUACAAAAUGAUUUAAUGAGCCUGACGC